rnacentral:rRNA from 1 species
AUACGUAGGGAGCGAGCGUUGUCCGGAAUUACUGGGCGUAAAGGGCGCGUAGGCGGCGCUUCAAGUCGUCUGUCAAAUGGGAGGGCUUAACCCUUUUUCGCAGACGAAACUGGAGAGCUUGAGAAGCAGAGAGGCAAACAGAAUUCCUGGUGUAGUGGUGAAAUGCGUAGAUAUCAGGAAGAAUACCAGUGGCGAAGGCGGUUUGCUGGCUGCAUACUGACGCUGAAGCGCGAAAGCCAGGGGAGCAAACGGGAUUAGAUACCCCGGUAGUCCUGGCAGUAAACGAUGUAUGCUGGGUGUGAGACUAGCGAUAGUUUCGUGCCGAAGUUAACGCGAUAAGCAUACCGCCUGGGGAGUACGGUCGCAAGAUUGAAACUUAAAGGAAUGGACGGGG